AUAAGCCAACCUUGACUAAAAUAUGCCUCCAAUUACAUGUAUUGAGCAUCAUAAGAUAUCACUAAUCUAAAAGUACUAAAAUCAUAAAUAUUCAAUGAGGUGAUUAUCACCUCACCAGAAUUUUAAUGCAAUAUCAAAAUCCAGAAUCACAUCACAAGCCUAAUCUUGAUCAAAUAAAUAUCUUGAACAUGAUAUGCUAGAAAAGAUCACAAAGCUAUUCCAAACCAUCUAUCUAAUUCUCAAAAAAAUAAAAAAUCUUUCAUUUAUAAAAAAGAAACAUGAAGAGCACAAACUUUGCCACUCUUUUCUUUGGAUGCUUUUGACCAAACCUCACAUGAAGCUUUAUCCACAAAUAGGAAUGGUUUUGACAAAAGGGCGUUUGUAAAACUAAAUAAGAAGAUAAGUUGGAUUUGCUUAGAGUGGAUUUGGGUGGUUCUUGUUGGCAAUGAAAGUGCAGGGUAGUUAGUGACCACUAGUGGUACAUACAGACUCACAUAGUCAGUGACAUGGUUAUUAUGCAAAACUUUGAUUUUUGCUUUGAGCUCUAUGAAUUGUGGAAGAAAAAUGGUGAGUGACUCCACAAUAUACAAAUCAGAAUAUGGAGGAAAAAGUAUAAAUAAAAAUGUCCCGCAUCGGAAGCUAUGAGUAGAGCAGAGAGGAGCUUUGGUUAUAAAUAAAAAAAGGCUGUAGCUCUUAACUCUAACUCUCAGUCCAAUAUGAUUAAUGUUUCAAUGGACUAAGCUGCAAGCAGUUUUGCACCGUCUAAUCCUUCUGAUCGGAUGGAUUAGUUUUUGUGCGCAUUGAUGAAUUUGUUAUCGUUCGCAAUUUUGUGUCGUUCCAUUUUAAUUAUAUAAAAAUGGAACGUAACAAAUUACGACCAUUGACAAAUCCAUCUUAAAAAUAAUGUAAUAAUUUUCACUUUUAUAUGCUAUUAUUUGCCCACAUUUUGUAUGUUUUGCAAAAGGUGGUGUGAGAAUAAAAAUAUACAUGUGGCAUGUCCGUAUAAAUUGUGCAUAUGGAUUAAUUAAUUUUACAACAAAAAAUAAUCUAAAACAAGAAGUUUUAAGAUAUUGUAGUCAAAUUUAAUGUCUUUAACCUCUAAUUGAUGAAUAUUAGUUGAAUUGUGAAUUUUUCAUUGAGGUAUAGUAGAAUACUGAAUCAAGCUUGUCAAUUACUAUAAUUCAAUCUUCGCUUUUGAUGGUUGGAGUUUGAACCCUAAACAUUACAUAUAUUAUAUAUUUUUUCUACCAAUUGAGCUAAGUUCACGAUGACCAAGGUGUAUGCUUUAUGACCACUCUUAAAAUAUUCAAAUUUAUCAAGGAUGGAGUGUUUUUUUUUCGGGUAAUUACUUGUUUACCUUGGGUAAUUUUAUCUGAUGGAGUUUUGUUUGUACGAUUUUAAGGCAAUUAUGUGUGUUUUUUUUCUUGGAGAUAAUGCACGUGUAUCUAUCUCUUUAUCUAUAUUUUUUUUGGUAGGUAGACGAAAUGAUAAUAAUAAUUAGGAACUCACACACACAAUUGAAUGAGUUGGGGUUUGAACCCCAAUCACAACUUAUGAUCUAACAAUUUUGAUAUUUUAUCAGUUGAGUUAGAAUUUAUAAACAUUAAUCUAUCUUUUAUAUUGUAAACUAAAUUUGACUUGUUAGCAUGCAAGUUUUGUGAUUACGUGACACAUGCAAAGUUUUCACUAUAUUAAAAAUCACUGAUUCUUAAAGUUAGGAAUAUUCUUAUGUAUCCGAUCUAGUUUAAGAAUUACUUAUUUUCAAUAGAGUGAAAAACUUUGCAAUGUGUCAUGUAAUUAUAAAACUUGUAUGAGAACAAGUUUAGUUUAAUUUGCAAUAUAGAAGAUAGAUAGAUAUUCAUCGGUCUCAACUCAACUGAUAAAAAUAUCAAAAUUUUAGGCCGUUGUGAUAGCUCCUCCAAUUAUGUGUGUUUCUAAUAAUUAUUGUCAUUCUGUCCAUCUUCCAACAAAAAUAAUAGUGCUAAUUGGGAUAUUUAGCGUGUCUGCACCUUACUAUACCCCAUUUCCCUUUUAAUGGUUCAUAAUCUUGAUCAAUUCAAAUGGCUACCAUGUUAAAGACACAAAAUGACAAUUUAUUUUCAUGUAAUCUUAAUAGUAAUGAUAGUCUGGUAAUUUUAAGGCUUUUGGGUAAGAGUGUGGUGUCUCUCUCACUUGUGUGGUUGUUCAAGCCUUGAUGUGGACGGUCCCCCGAGCUCCCCCUCACAAACCCAACAGUGGUAUCAAAGCACCGUUCGACGAAAGGUAAGAUCGAGGCAGCCGGUCCGUUUGCGCAGAAAGUAGCAACGACGGUACAAAGCAGUGUCGGUCUGUUUGCGGAGAAACCAACAACGGCGAUACAAACAAGUAAGAGCUUCCGCUUGAAGGGGGACACACUUGAGGGGGAGUGUUGUUGUGUACAAGUGUGAGUUAUAUGCCACACAUCAGAUAAAAAGAGUAAAGGUUGAACACCUUAUAAGUAAGAGGACACAUAAACCUAUGACCUUAAAGUGUUGGGUAAGAGUGUGGCGUCUCUCUUGUUUAUAUGGUUGUUGUAGCCUUGAUGUGGACGGUUCCCUAGCUCCCCUCAACCCAACAAUAUCUUCUUGCUGUCAAUUUAUUUGAAAAUUUUACCACUUACGGUUAAGCUAAUUUUGGGGAACGUGACACGCAAUUUCAAGUGGAAACUACUAGCAAGAAAUGUAGCCUAUGCUAAAGUAAUGUUUUCAUUGUCUCUCCCUAAAAGAAAAAGGGAUGAAGAGAUGAGAGCGAGUGACCAUAGAGUAUAGACAACCGUGGAAUAAGAAAUGUUGAUAGUGUCUUCCUUUUUUUUUUGGAAAGAAAUGUUGAUAGUGUCUUCCCUUGAUUAAUUUUGAGAGAUUACUCUAUCUUAAAAGAGAAAUGAUAUUUGAACAACCAUUUUUUACAACUUUUGUGAUAACUUUCUCUCUCAUACUCACAUUAUUUUUUUACUUUCUCUCUCUAUGGCUUUGGUUUUUGUGUCACUACCUCAUUUCCUUUGUAAAAUUUUGAUUAUCACAAAAGUUGUCACAUAUAUGGAUGUUCAAAUAACACAACUCAUUUUAAAAAGGGUUUUUUGGAUGGUGUGCAUAAGGUUAUUUAUAUUAUUGUUAGAGGUUCUUCAAUUGAGAAAUUUGCAAAUUGAGUGUGUGCUUGAAAUUGUAAUUUUUGGUUGUUGUAGUUGUGAGCAAAAGUUUUAAUAAAAAAAAUUGUCAGCAAAUUGAACCUCGGUUUGCUCUGUCAUAAAAUUUGCAAAUUGAGUGUGUGCUUGAAAUUGUUAUAUUUGAUUGAUUAUUUACGUACAAAAAUCAAAUGAUCAUUCAUAUAUUUAGUGAUUAUGAUCAUUCUUAUUUAACUCCUUUUUCAAUUGAUUCAAUUUUAAAGAUUUUUUUUUGUCCAUUUAUUUACUAAACAAACUAAUAGAUAUUCUUUUUAUUCAGUCGAAAAAAACUAAGAGAUAUUCUUUUGUCACUUUUCAAUAUUUCCUUUCUUUUUUGUGUUUAAAUGGACUUUGCAUUUUUACAUCUCUCGUUAAUAAUUUUUUGACAAUUGUCUUUUUUGAGUAUUGCUGUUGACACAUUUGGUUUGGCUGAGAAGCAUGAGUAAAUUACUCAAAUGCCCUUAGGCAGUUAGCUGCCGAAAUUUUAAAGAACCGGCUACGUUAACUGCCGAGUAAUUUCAAACCUGAAAUUAAAUAAGAAAAUACACCUAAAUUUUCCUUAAUUAAAUUUAAUUCUUUAAUCAUUUUAAGGAAUUAAACAUAAUUAUUAUUAUGAUUUCAUUCAUAUGAUUUUGUUGCCAUAAAUAAAGAUAUAUGAGAGAUGAAUAAUAUCUGCAAUCGGUAGUUAAUGGACCUAAAGUGAUGAUUCAAUAAAAGUAAAUGCAACAACAAAAACGUUACAAAUAAUUAUAUUUGUAAUUAUUAGUAAUUAAUUUCAUUGAUUUCUGUCAUUAUUCAUAAGUUUGACUAACCUAUUAGUACUUUAUACUAAUAUUUCAGAUAUUAUUACUUUAAUUAACAUGAAAAACGCAACAACAAAGAAAAAUGUUUGACAUCGGUAAUUAAUGGACCUAAAAUGGUGAUUCAAUAAAAAAAAUGCAACAACAAAAAACAUUAUAAAUGAUAGAAUAAUUAUAUUUUCCUUCAAAAAAAAAGAAUAAUUAUAUUUGUAAUUAAUUUCAUUGAUGUCUGUCAUUAUUCAUAGGUUUGACUAACCUAUUAUUACUUUAUAAUAUUUUAGAUAUUAUUCAUCUCUCUUUCAAAUAAUUAUAUUUGUAAUUAUUCUAUUAAUAAAACCUCUUUUUUUUUUUUUUUGUAGAAAUAAAACUUCUUUUCUAUUACUAGUUAGAAACGUGAUCGAAUAUGUAAUUCUAGGAUAUCAUAUUUCUUCAUUUAUGGCAACAAAAUUAUAUGAAUGAAAUCAACAACGUUAUAAAAAGAAUCAUGUAGUAAAGAAUUAAAUUUAAUUAAGGGAAAAUUUAGGUGUAUUUCCUUAUUUAAUUUCAGGUUUGAAAUUCCUCGGUAGUUAACUGCCGAAGUUUUCCUCGGCAGUUAACUGCAGCAGGUUCUUUAAAAUUUCGGCAGUUAACUGUCGAAGGGUAUUUAGGUAAAUUACUCGUGUUUCUCAGCCAAACCAAAUGUGUGAACAACAAUACUCAUCUUUUUUACAUACUCAAUUGCUCUCCCGCAAUAGUAAAAAAUCAUUAUAUCCUUAACAGCAGUUAACUACUCCCGACCUCCCAACGUAAAAGUCAGGACAGUUAAUUGAUGUUGGGUGUAUAAUGGUCUUUUACUGGUUAGUGUGGGAGAACAAUUGGAUGCGAAAGAAAAACAAUUUUCUAAUUUUUUUAGAGAGUGUAUGUUUAGUUUGGUGCAAAAUAGAUAUGUUAAGAACCCAUUCUGGGUUUUACAUAAUCACACUUAAUUUUGUAAUUUAAGUUUCAACGAUUACAGGCCAAUGCAUCAAACAUUGACCUGCACCAACUAGUUUCAAAGAUGCAGACAAUACUUAGUGGUACGAAAGAUAAGAUUGAGUGAGAUUUGUUUAGUGAAAAGAAGCAGUUUGAGGCAUUUGUCAAUUCUCAUUCACUAAGUGUUUUAGACUAGUCCAAUGCCCACAAUCCACAUUAUAUAAGGUUUGAAUUGUAUCAACGCAACAUAGAUUUCUUCCAUUGUAAGCAAUGAUAUGGAUGAACAAAUGAAAGAAUAAAAUGAAUGAAAGGAGGAAGAGGUUAGAGAGAAAUGAAAUUUGAAAACAUAAUAGUGGUAACAAUAAGUGAUGCAUUUAAAAAUGAAAUUUGAGAGAACUAAUUGUAGAUGCGUUAGAUUUAGAAGUUGGUAGUUAAUAAAGUUUUCUAUUUCUUCGAAAAAAACUAUAUUAUAUUAUGUAGUUGGUGGUCAAUGUGAAUAGAAAAUUAGAUGAUUGUUCCGUGAGGGGGAAUAGAUAAGAGCUUUGCUAACAAGUUAUGCAUUCUUUAAGGUUUUUAAAUAAAAAAAAAAAACUAUUUAUUCAAAAAGUUGUGUAUAUAUAUAUAUAUAUGUGUGUGUGUGUUAUUUUUUAUUUUUUUUUAUAAAAAUUUGUUAUUUUAGAUUUUUAAAACUAUUUUUAUAAGGACAUUCGUUAACAUUUCUCAAAUGAUAAAAGACAUAUAGUUGAAACUUGAAAACCAGAAAUUGAGACAAAAUAAGUGACUUACAUUUUCUUAAAGAAAUCAGUGAUGAGUAAUACAAACAAUCAAAUGGAAACGCACAUUUUCUUCCAUCUCGAGUUUCUCCAUACCCCACAAUUGCUACCCCAUGAUUCAGCUCAUGUGCCACAGUGCCCAUAUGAUAAACUUGGCCUUCAAAAUAAUUUUGAACUUCAUAUAUAUAACAUAAUAUCUCAAAUAAUGUACAUACAAUAAUUUCUUGACCAUACAGAGGCCUAGAUUGCUAACACUACUGUUAUCAUAUGCAUACAUUAUUUUGAAGUACUAAAGUCAUAUGCAAAAGAUGUAUUAGAUCAGCUCCAAAUUUUUAAUGUAACAUCAAAUUCCAUAACCAUAAGCCAACCUUGACUAAAAUAUGCCUCCAAUUACCUGUAUUGAGCAUGAUACGAUAUCACUCAUCUGAAUUCUGAAGGUACUAAAAUCUUACAUAUUCAAUGAGGUGAUUCAUCACCAGAAUUUUAAUGCAAUGUCAAAAUCCAGAAUCGCAUCACAAGCCCAAUUUUGACCAAAUAAAUACCUUGAACAUGAUAUGCUAGAGAUGACCUCUAGUGAUGGUACACAUAGUCAGUGACAUGGUUAUUAUUAUGCUAAACUUUGAU
rnacentral:lncRNA from 1 species